rnacentral:rRNA from 1 species
CAGCCGCCGCGGUAAUCCGUAGGUGGCAAGCGUUGUCCGGAAUUAUUGGGCGUAAAGGGCUCGCAGGCGGUUUCUUAAGUCUGAUGUGAAAGGUUCACGGCUCAACCGGAACAGUGCCUUGGAUACUGGGAGACUUGAAUCUGGCAGAGGAUAGUGGAAUUCCUGGUGUAGCGGUGAAAUGCGUAGAUAUCAGGAGGAACACCGAUGGCGAAGGCAGCUAUCUGGGCUAAGAUUGACGCUGAGGUGCGAAAGCGUGGGGAGCAAACGGGAUUAGAGACCCCCGUAGUCCCUGUCUCUUAUA